UUGAAAGGGAAACGAUUGAAGUCAGUCGUACCUAUGGGUAAUCAGCCUUUUGGGUGUGAUUUUGUGGAGCGUGAGGAGCUUAACACCUUCAUGCUUUGCAUAUUCGUGCUCUUGGGUGUACUUGCCCGUGUGGUUGGUUAACAUCAAUUUUGGUGGUCAUAAAAUGACUGGAGGAAUGUAGCUUCGAUCUUGUAUUGAAGUGUUAUAGCCUUCGGUAGAUGUGGUGAUCGAGAUUGAGGAUUGCAACGGAUACCUUUCGGGGCUACCUGUCUGAUCUCUGAUCGUUGCUUUGGUGCUGAAAGCGUGCUUAUAGUUAUCAAAGUCGAUGGUCAAUAGGUUAGAAUGGGUUAAAUUCGUUAAGGAUGUUGACGUA
rnacentral:rRNA from 1 species